GUAGGUGGCAAGCGUUGUCCGGAAUUAUUGGGCGUAAAGCGCGCGCAGGCGGUUCUUUAAGUCUGAUGUGAAAGCCCACGGCUCAACCGUGGAGGGUCAUUGGAAACUGGAGAACUUGAGUACAGAAGAGGAAAGCGGAAUUCCACGUGUAGCGGUGAAAUGCGUAGAGAUGUGGAGGAACACCAGUGGCGAAGGCGGCUUUCUGGUCUGUAACUGACGCUGAGGCGCGAAAGCGUGGGGAGCAAACAGGGAUUAGAUACCCUGGUAGUCCACGCCGUAAACGAUGAGUGCUAAGUGUUAGGGGGUUUCCGCCCCCCUUAGUGCUGCAGCUAACGCAUUAAGCACUCCGCCUGGGAGUACGGCCGCAAGGCUG
rnacentral:rRNA from 1 species